GUGAGUAGUUCAGAGUUUGAUCCUGGCUCAGGAUGAACGCUGGCGGCGUGCCUAAUACAUGCAAGUCGUGCGAGUCUCUUCGGAGGCUAGCGGCGAACGGGUGAGUAACACGUAUUCAAUCUGCCCUAAAGACUGGGAUACCCUCGGGAAACCUUGGCUAAUACCGGAUAGGAACUUUGAUCGCAUGAUCUUAGUUUGAAAGUACCGUUUGGUGCACUUUAGGAUGAGAAUGCGGCGCAUUAGUUAGUUGGUGAGGUAACGGCCCACCAAGACGAAGAUGCGUAGCCGGCCUGAGAGGGUGAUCGGCCACAAUGGAACUGAGACACGGUCCAU
rnacentral:rRNA from 1 species